rnacentral:rRNA from 1 species
UCUGACGGANCGACGCCGCGUGGNNGAAGAAGGCCGAAAGGUUGUAAAGUUCUUUUGCUAGGGGAGAAUAAGUGUGGGAGGGAAUGCCUGCACGAUGACAAGGACUAGCGAAUAAGUCCCGGCCAACUACGUGCCAGCAGCCGCGGUAACACGUAGGGGGCGAGCGUUGUUCGGAAUUACUGGGCGUAAAGGGCAUGUAGGCGGCUUGGUAAGCCUGGCGUGAAAGUCUGCAGCUUAACUGUAGGGAUGCGUUGGGAACUGCUUAGCUUGAGUUACGGAGAGGGAGCUGGAAUUCCUGGUGUAGGGGUGAAAUCUGUAGAUAUCAGGAAGAACACCGAUGGCGAAGGCAAGCUUCUGGCCGACAACUGACGCUGAGGUGCGAAAGUGUGGGGAUCAAACAGGAUUAGAUACCCUGGUAGUCCACACAGUAAACGAUGUGCACGAGGUGCUGGGGCGGUAGUUUCAGUGCCGGAGCGAACGCGGUAAGUGCACCGCCUGGGNANNNNCUCGCAAGGGUGAAACUCNAG